UUAUUCAUGCAUAUACAUGAUUUUGCAGAGGAAUCGGAGGUAGUUGACUUCUGCAAGCUAGGAUGUGCUUCGUCUGUGUGCAGCACCAUGAGCACUCUUUUUGCCAAUGAAGAAGCCAAUCAUGCCGUCGAUCGUUGCAACGAAGCAUGCCGCCGCUUCUGUACCAAGGAAGCUGAGACUGUCACCGUUGUUUCCUAAGCAAGUGCAACAUGCAAGCAUAAGGGUCUUCACACAUGGAAGCCCAUGGUAGGCUAUGCCACCCUGGAGUACUCAGAAAUAAAAUGGAUAUCAUGAUAUCCAAUCCAGUGUGCCAUCGAUCUCUCUUGAUUUCUGUCACGUUGUAUUUCCAAUAAGCUAUGAUAAUCACGAUCUGCCAUCAUAUAUUAUCUUUUCUUGAGGAUGUGAGCAUAUGUAGAGUGAUGAUAUCAUUGCCUAAGAAAUAAAUCUUGUCAUCGGGAUGGAUCCCUUUUGUUAAAGUUAUAUAAUGCAUGCUACA